GGGUUCGGGAUUUGUUUCGGGCUCGGCCGAUCCUCCCACCCUUUGUGUACCUACCUCUGUUGCUUUGGCGGGCCGCGGUCCUCCGCGGCCGCCCCCCUCCCCGGGGGGGUGGCCAGCGCCCGCCAGAGGACCAUCAAACUCCAGUCAGUAAACGAUGCAGUCUGAAAAACAUUUAAUAAACUAAAACUUUCAACAACGGAUCUCUUGGUUCUGGCAUCGAUGAAGAACGCAGCGAAAUGCGAUAAGUAAUGUGAAUUGCAGAAUUCAGUGAAUCAUCGAAUCUUUGAACGCACAUUGCGCCCUUUGGUAUUCCGAAGGGCAUGCCUGUUCGAGCGUCAUUACAACCCUCAAGCUCUGCUUGGUAUUGGGCACCGUCCUUUGCGGGCGCGCCUCAAAGACCUCGGCGGUGGCGUCUUGCCUCAAGCGUAGUAGAACAUACAUCUCGCUUCGGAGCGCAGGGCGUCGCCCGCCGGACGAACCUUCUGAACUUUUCUCAAGGUUGACCUCGGAUCAGGUAGGGAUACCCGCUGAACUUAAGCAUAUCAAUAAGCGGAGGAA
rnacentral:rRNA from 1 species